rnacentral:tRNA from 1 species
GCCUGGGUGGCUCAGUCGGUUAAGCGUCUGUCUUCGGCUCAGGUCACGAUCUCAUGGUUCGUGAGUUCGAACCCCACUUUGGGCU